AUUGAACGCUGGCGGCAGGCCUAACACAUGCAAGUCGAGCGGCAGUGGGAAAGUAGCUUGCUACUUUUGCCGGCGAGCGGCGGACGGGUGAGUAAUGCCUGGGAAAUUGCCCAGUCGAGGGGGAUAACAGUUGGAAACGACUGCUAAUACCGCAUACGCCCUACGGGGGAAAGCAGGGGACCUUCGGGCCUUGCGCGAGUGGAUAUGCCCAGGGGGGAUUAGCUAGUUGGUGAGGUAAAGGCUCACCAAGGCGACGAUCCCUAGCUGGUCUGAGAGGAUGAUCAGCCACACUGGAACUGAGACACGGUCCAGACUCCUACGGGAGGCAGCAGUGGGGAAUAUUGCACAAUGGGGGAAACCCUGAUGCAGCCAUGCCGCGUGUGUGAAGAAGGCCUUCGGGUUGUAAAGCACUUUCAGCGAGGAGGAAAGGUUGAUGCCUAAUACGUAUCAACUGUGACGUUACUCGCAGAAGAAGCACCGGCUAACUCCGUGCCAGCCGCCGCAGUAACAC
rnacentral:rRNA from 1 species